rnacentral:rRNA from 1 species
CACAAAAUGACUCUAAGCAACGGAUAUCUCGGCUCUUGCAUCGAUGAAGAACGCAGCGAAAUGCGAUACUUGGUGUGAAUUGCAGAAUCCCGUGAACCAUCGAGUCUUUGAACGCAAGUUGCGCCCGAAGCCAUUAGGUUGAGGGCACGCCUGCCUGGGUGUCACA